UAACGUAGGGGGCAAGCGUUGUUCGGAAUUACUGGGCGUAAAGGGCGCGUAGGCGGCACAGCAAGUCGGGAGUGAAAGCCCGGGGCUCAACCCCGGAAUGCUUUCGAAACUGCUGAGCUAGAGUACAGAAGGGGCAACCGGAAUUCCCAGUGUAGCGGUGAAAUGCGUAGAUAUUGGGAAGAACACCUGAGGCGAAGGCGGGUUGCUGGGCUGAUACUGACGCUGAGGCGCGAAAGCCAGGGAGCAAACGGGAUUAGAGUAC
rnacentral:rRNA from 1 species